CCGUCACAGUGGAGGUUUCAUGUGGUUUUUGUCUACUUGGACCACUGGAAAACAAAGCUCCUCAGGGCAGGGGCCUAGUCAGCCGCCCAGCACAGCAGCCCUGCAGGGCACGCGGUAAAAGGUGGAGAGGUGGGGGAGGAGGGAUUGGAACCAGGAAGAAUAAGGUGGGCCAGGUCGGAUGGAGAUGGGCUCCUUCCCAAACAGGGCCCUCCCUCACUUGAUCAUCUUGAACAAGUCGGGGUCGCUGAUUUUGACCGUGCGAGCCACGUUCCAGGACACGUGAAUCAUGGGCACGAUGGAUUUGACGUUCUUCACCUCGUUCCACUCGUAUCGUUCCAGGGCCAGCUGGUACUGAUAGGCUGCGGGCCAGAGAGGGUCAUGGCAGGAUUCCCCAACAGCCCGAGACACUUGGGCCCCCGCCCCUUCCCUCACAGCUGGCCUGGCGCCCUCCAAACCCGCCCCCCCCCCCCGACGGGGCUCACUCCCCAGGGGCCCCAGCCCCUCACCGCUGAGUGGCUCACCCCACCACCUGGCCCCGCCCCCUCACCGGUGAGGGGCCCCACGUUCCAGGCGAUGUUGUUGCACCAGCCGGUGGCCUGCACCCAGUGCACGGUCCCCGCAUUAAUCCACACAAGGUCUCCGGGGCGCUGCACGAAGCGGUACACAGGGAUGUUGGAAGCAUAGAGGUCAUCCAGGAUUGGCCACCAGGAACCCGUCAGGUAGUCCACGCCAUGCCUGGAGAGUAGCCACAAGGGGGCAACAGAGAACUGCACAGUUGGUCGGAGCCGGGCCUGCGCUGCGCGACAAGCCCGCCCUUGGGCGCUCAUUGGCUGACGGAGGAGCGCUGGCGGCAGCCCCGCCCCCUGCGCUCCUCGCACGCGCCCCGCAGCCCCGCACUCCGCAGCCCCGUGAAGAGCGCACCUGGCGUUCGGCUGCCUGGGACCUUCAUGUACAGCUGCACUGUGUUCAUGCCCAGGAUGGUGUGUCCCACGUGGCUCAGCAUGUUGCCCGUGGAGGUUACCCGCAUGAAGGCGGGCAGCUUCAGCAGCUCUUGCAGCUGGGGCUUCCACCUGCCGUGGCGAGGGGGGCAACAGAAGUGAGCAGCUACCCCGACUCUGCUGACCCAUCAGCACUUCCGCCCCAGCUUGCUGGCCUCAGCCCUACUGACCGCUUGGCAUCGGACAGGUCGAUGUUGGUGCCGAACUUGAUGAUGUGAUGGUUCUUCGGAUCCGGUGCGCUGCUGCGGGGGCAAAGAGCACAGACUCUGACGCAGUGGACACAGGCUUCUCAGAGUUCAGCCCAGGAAGAACAGGCGAGAACCCCAGCCCCUCAUGAAGCUGGGAGGGUUGGCCCUCCCAGGGCCUGGCCUUUACCUGGAUUACAACCAACGCCCUUUCUCCCACUGCUGCUCUGAGUCCCAGUCCCUCCCCCAGAGUCCUCAGGUGUCCAUGAGGCCACAUGUGCAAAGCAUCUGGCACACAGUAGGUGCUCAAUGAAUAACAGUUUAAGUUAUCAUUGGAUCCAAUGAAAGAUUUCAUCAAGUAAAAGCCUAGACCGUGCUUCAGUAACAUUGGAGGAAGGGGAGGAUAUGUGGGUAAGAGAAGGCUACAAGUACAGAGGAAACAAGAUUAAUUUUUAUAACUCAGUAUGGUUUCCUUUUACUUUGGAAGGUGUUUGAAAUUGUGCACAAUAAAAGGUUGAAAAAGAGAA